rnacentral:rRNA from 1 species
GACGAACGCUGGCGGCGUGCCUAAUACAUGCAAGUAGAACGCUGAAGGAGGAGCUUGCUUCUCUGGAUGAGUUGCGAACGGGUGAGUAACGCGUAGGUAACCUGCCUGGUAGCGGGGGAUAACUAUUGGAAACGAUAGCUAAUACCGCAUAAGAGUAGAUGUUGCAUGACAUUUGCUUAAAAGGUGCAAUUGCAUCACUACCAGAUGGACCUGCGUUGUAUUAGCUAGUUGGUGGGGUAACGGCUCACCAAGGCGACGAUACAUAGCCGACCUGAGAGGGUGAUCGGCCACACUGGGACUGAGACACGGCCCAGACUCCUACGGGAGGCAGCAGUAGGGAAUCUUCGGCAAUAGACGGAAGGCUGACCGAGCAACGCCGCGUGAGUGAAGAAGGUUUUCGGAUCGUAAAGCUCUGUUGUAAGAGAAGAACGAGUGUGAGAGUGGAAAGUUCACACUGUGACGGUAUCUUACCAGAAAGGGACGGCUAACUACGUG